rnacentral:rRNA from 1 species
GAUGAACGCUGGCGGCGUGCUUAACACAUGCAAGUCGAACGGAACUACUCCAAUGAGAGUCUUCGGAAAGGAUUUGGUUUAGUUUAGUGGCGGACGGGUGAGUAACGCGUGGGUAACCUGCCCUAUACAGGGGGAUAACAGUUGGAAACGACUGUUAAUACCGCAUAAGCGCACAGGAGCGCAUGCUCCGGUGUGAAAAACUCCGGUGGUAUAGGAUGGACCCGCGUCUGAUUAGCUGGUUGGCGGGGUAACGGCCCACCAAGGCGACGAUCAGUAGCCGGCCUGAGAGGGUGAACGGCCACAUUGGGACUGAGACACGGCCCAAACUCCUACGGGAGGCAGCAGUGGGGAAUAUUGCACAAUGGGGGAAACCCUGAUGCAGCGACGCCGCGUGAGCAAAGAAGUAUCUCGGUAUGUAAAGCUCUAUCAGCAGGGAAGAAAAUGACGGUACCUGACUAAGAAGCCCCGGCUAACUACGUG